AUGGCGAACGUGCGGACGUCCUUUCUGGUCUGCUCUCUGUGUUAUGUAGUGGCGUAAAAAACAAAAAAAUAAUAAUUUCGGGUGGAACAAAAACAGUUAAGAUGGACGCUUUUGAUAAUGAAAGAAGCCGUUACUGGCUCAUUGUUUGUUAUUCUAGAUGUCUUAAGGAGGGUAUGUGUUCUGUAACUUGAAUAAAGUGAAGUGUAACCACGUGGUCAGAUGAACUACUCAAAGGUGUUUCUGUGAAGGUGACUGUCUGCUCUUUGAGCAAAUGUGAUGUAUUUGAAGGAGUCCACGUUGCAUUUUGUCCCCUAUUAAGUGACCGAAUGCUGUCUAGAAAUGCAGGUCUUUUUUUAAGGGCGUCACCCAUUGAGUUUGAUUUAUACCAUGGAAACUGGUACCUAAACCAUCCUCUUGAGCUGUGGAGUCAUCUGCCUUUCAGAUUUAACUUCCUCUCUGUGUCCUCUUAAGGAUUUGGUACUUUUGUUUUUUGUUUUGGUGUAUUUGUAUGUGCAUUUGUGAAACAUUUCUCAAAACCCAAUUAAAGUUCUAAUUUAAUUAAA